rnacentral:lncRNA from 1 species
GGGCAGCUAGGGCUUAAGGGAGGCACUGUUGAAAAAUGUGCCCUAAAGCUAAUCGUUUGACGAUUGUGCUAAUUAUAAUUGUAUAUGAAUCGAUAAAUAAUAAAAAUUAUUUGGCCUUAUUCAUCACAAGAUUACAUCUUCUAAUGAACUCCUAUAUUGUGAUGAAGUUCUUAGGAUUACUUUGAUCGAUAAAAGAGAAUUUAUCAUGUAAUUCUUAAAUUAGUUCAUG